CCUAGCAAUAGGUUGAUGGCGACCGGCGCACGGGUGAGUAACACGUAUCCAACCUACCGGUUAUUCCGGGAUAGCCUUUCGAAAGAAAGAUUAAUACCGGAUAGUAUAACGAGAAGGCAUCUUCUUGUUACUAAAGAAUUUCGAUAACCGAUGGGGAUGCGUUCCAUUAGUUUGUUGGCGGGGUAACGGCCCACCAAGACAUCGAUGGAUAGGGGUUCUGAGAGGAAGGUCCCCCACAUUGGAACUGAGACACGGUCCAAACUCCUACGGGAGGCAGCAGUGAGGAAUAUUGGUCAAUGGACGAGAGUCUGAACCAGCCAAGUAGCGUGAAGGAUGACUGCCCUAUGGGUUGUAAACUUCUUUUAUAUGGGAAUAAAGUGAGCCACGUGUGGCUUUUUGUAUGUACCAUACGAAUAAGGAUCGGCUAACUCCGUGCCAGCAGCCGCGGUAAUACGGAGGAUCCGAGCGUUAUCCGGAUUUAUUGGGUUUAAAGGGAGCGUAGGCGGACUAUUAAGUCAGCUGUGAAAGUUUGCGGCUCAACCGUAAAAUUGCAGUUGAUACUGGUCGUCUUGAGUGCAGUAGAGGUAGGCGGAAUUCGUGGUGUAGCGGUGAAAUGCUUAGAUAUCACGAAGAACUCCGAUUGCGAAGGCAGCUUACUGGACUGUAACUGACGCUGAUGCUCGAAAGUGUGGGUAUCAAACAGGAUUAGAUACCCUGGUAGUCCACACAGUAAACGAUGAAUACUCGCUGUUUGCGAUAUACAGCAAGCGGCCAAGCGAAAGCAUUAAGUAUUCC
rnacentral:rRNA from 1 species